GAAGAGCCAGAUCUCGGCAGGCUGCUGGGCAGGGGAGGUGGGAAAAGUAAACCAGUGUGCAGUCGGGGAGUGGGAUGAUAUAGACUAUUGUGUUCAGACCUCACCUGUGCCCACUGUCUCCUCUUGUGGCAGGGCAGGGCACUAAAGGAACAACAGGCAGAAUGCUGCUUUUCUAGUGUUCAGAAUGGCUAGUUCAGGUUUACUUUUCUGGCUUAGUUUGGACAAGCUCCUGUUAAUCAAGCUGUGGGAUGGAACUUCCGGGGACAGCAAAAGGUGCUAUUUUCCCUCCUGCAGGAACUCUCUUCAAAUUGCAAAAAGUACAAGUUACCCCCACAGAAUGCUGGGAAUCAUGCUUGUUACCUUCUUGCUUCAAUCCUCUAGUGUAUUUGGUAAGCACUUUAGAAGCCUUUAAAAUAGUACUCUAAGGCCAGGUAACGUGGUGUGCCUCUACCUCUGUAAGUAACUGGGACCACAGGCACAUGCUACAAUGCUCAUGCCACCACGCACAACUAAUGGAAAAAAAUUUAUAGAGAGAGGCCUUCCUAUGUUGCCUAGGCUGGUCUCAAACUCCUGGGCUCAAAAGUGAUUCUCCCACCUUGGCCUCCCAAAGUGCUGGGAUUACAGGUGUGAGCCACUAUGCCCAGCCAGUAAAUGCCCAUUUUCUUUUCUUUUCUUUCUUUUUUUGGAGACGGAGUCCAGCUGUAUCGCCCAGGCUGGAGUGCAAUGGCGUGAUCUUGGCUCACUGCAACCUCUGCCUCCCAGGUUCAAGUGAUUCUCCUGCUUCAGCCUCCGGAGUAGCUGGGAUUACAGGCUCCCGCCACCAGGCCUGGCUAAUUUUUGUAUUUUUAGUAGAGAUGGGGUUUCACUGUGUUGGCCAGGCUGAUCUCAAACUCCUGACCUCGUGACCCGCCUGUGUUGGCCUCCCAAAGUGCUGGGAUUACAAGUGUGAGCCACCGUGCCCGGCUGACCCAUUUUCAAAUGCUAUUAGAAUCACCUUUGCCAUCUUAUUUGUUCCCUCAUUAAUUAGUUAAACAAAUAUUUUACAUGAGCUCAUUAUAUGUUCAUAUGAGGGUGAACGUAAAGAAUUAUGAAGGGUUGAAGGUUUUACCCUACCUGUAAGUUAACAAGUUAGCCUGUCAUGGUUUAAUGGAUGCUGGCAGAAGACAUGAAACUCCUGGGUCAGAGACAAAGGACUUUAUGAUGAAUGGUACAGCAAGCAACAUGAACACCAGUGUAUUUGUGCCAGUUCCCCUUUCCUCUGCAAGUCCCAUAAGGGUGAUGUGGAUAGACCUAAGUAGAUGCCUAUACAUUCAGUGUGUCACAUUAUACUAAACUUAAGGAACUUGAAUCUUUUAUAAUGUUUAGUAAGCCUGAUUCCCCUUUUCUCCAGAGUGAGACACUAUCUCUACCUUCCAAAGCUAUUUGUUAUGUAAACAUCCUUGUAAGGGCAGCUUGGAACAAAGUACCUUGCUUGUAAGAUAUAUAGAAACUUAAGAGACCCAUGGAGAAUUAUCUCCCAACAGCCAAUUUUAAAAAAUUAUACCCUGGCCAGGGUGUAACAGCCUGUAAAUGACCACGCCUGGAUACUUCCUGGCUGCAAUGUCUGGGCUGUUUCCACCGUACUGAGAAAACCCAAGUCCCACUGCAUGUGACCAACAAAAGAAUCCCCCACUACUAUUAGCUCUUUGUAUCUUUUCCAACCUAGGGUGGAAGUGGCCUUGGUUUGAAAAAGAUGCAUCAAAGCACAAAAAACGUGGUAAUUAAUCAGUUUUAUUUCCAAAGCCCUACAUGUCUUGAGAUGCUUAAAAUACUUAUUGUGAUAAAAUUUUAAUAGAACCCUAAAACUACAAAAACUUUAAGGCAAUUAAAACACUAGUCUGUGAGCAAUUUAAGAGCAGGGACCAUGUUUUAUUUGUUUUUUGAAUCGUUGGAACCUAACACAGUGUCUGGUACCUAGUAGGUGUUCACCAAAAUUUUUGUCGAAUUAGUGAAUAAAUAAAUUAAGAGGGAGGAACACUCCUGUUUACCUCUUUCUUAUCCAGUUUCUCUUUGGUCCUUUCCUCUUCUAGAAAACAAAGCAGAUAUCUGUUGAACUCAUUUAUGCCCUUUGCUUCAGCUGCUUGUUCCAAUAACUUAUUCCAUAUGUUUAUUUCCUUUAGUGUGAAAAGAUUUGGCUCAAGUUUUCUUUUUUAUUUAUAGUUUCCUGAGUUUUCAGUCCUGUCCCUGCUCGCCUGUUCCCUUUCCCAUACACACACACCCGGGAGUGUGAAGGAGCAAGUGCCGACAGCUACAACCGCGAUUCAGAGGUUCUUGAAAGGGUUGCUGUUGUUUCUGGACAGUCAUCCUGGGCGGCUGUCCCCAGGCCAGCGAGGCCGACUGCUUAGCCUGCAGCCUGGGCCGCACUCCUGAGACACUCUGCCCCCAUCUGACUGGCCACGUGCCCUCUCGCUCCUCAGGUGAGUGCAGCCCAUAUGGUGAUAGAGCGAAAUGGGGACAGACCCACUGAGCUCCCACAGGGGCCUAGAAGUACUUGACAAAAGGCCGAGCUUGGAAGGGCACGGUGAGUCAAUCUGCUGGCCCAGAGGAAAACCAGAGAUUAGAGAUCUACGCUUAAUUAAUAGGCGGUGAGGAAGCCAUUUCCAGACUCACCCUGUACUUUCAGAAGCAAAUUGUGAAUUAUUGCCUCGAGAGAUAGGCUUUAGAGUGUAAAGUCCAUUUUUGUGUCAGUUGAGGAGCCUAAACAAAUGUUGAAUGGCACCACUUUCUCUUUUUCUUUAUUUCCUUUUUUUUUUGAGACAGGAUCUCAUUCUGUUGUCCAGGCUGGAGUCCAGCGAUGCAAUCAUGGCUCAGUGCAACCUUGAACUCCCGGGCUCAAGCCAUCCUCCCACCUCAGCCUCCCAAGUAGUUGGGACUAUAGGCAUGCACCAUCACAACUGGCUAAUUUUUAAAUUUUUUGUAGAGAGGGGGCUCCCUAUGUUGCGUAGGCUGGUCUCGAACUCCUAGCCUCAAGCAAUCCUCCCGCCUCGGCCUGGGAUUACAGGCGUGAGCCACUGUGCCCAGCCUAAUGACACAUUUUCUGAUUGGACAUUAGAAUGCCCAAGGGUCGAGCCUAGCAGUGUGCUCCUUCUGGGUGGUUUAAGGGAGGCAGAUGCUCUGUGGCUUCAGGGAUGUGUAGCACACCUAAGAGCCACAGAGUCACCCUUUCCUAGUACCCUAUGAGGCCACAUGUAAAGUGCCUCAGUCUGGGGUCAUCUUGUUUUCUCUCUUUUUUUUUUUCUUUUUAAUCCCCAUUUAGCUCCAAGCAAGAGAAGGAACUGGCCCUUCUUUUGCUUGUGCAAGGGUGGAUAAUGACUUGCAUAUUCCAGGAGAGUGGUGAGGCUCACCACCUUGAUAGCUACAUUUUGUCUGGGCUUCUCAAAGAAGGGAGGACGAGGAACAGGUUUUUGGCAGGUUUUGUUCCAGUUAGGGCUGGGCAGCAGUGAAACAGGCUGCCUGUCAAGUCCUGAGUUGUCCAAACUGCAGAAGGAAUUCUGCUUGAUAUAGGAGGCUGGAAUAGAUUAUGUCUAAAGUCUUUUCUAAAAGCACGGCUGAGGGUUUCCCCAAGUUCAGCUUUCUUAUAGGAGGGCAGUAUGGUGUGUUGAUCAAAAGCAGUGGCUGAGGCCAAUCAGUCUAGAUUUCAACUCUGCUACUUAUAGCCUAUGCUGUGUAGCCUUAGGCGAAAGUCUGUGCCUUCGUUUUUUCAUCUGUAAAAUAGGCUCAAUGACAGCAGAAUCUAUUUCAUGAGAGCUAUGCUGCCUCAUCUCAUGGAGCUGGUGUAAAAAAUAAGUGGAUUAGGCUAGGCACUGUGGCUCACGCCUGUAAUCCCUGCACUUUGGGAGGCUGAGGUGGUUGGAUGACUUGAGCUCAAGAGUUCAAGACCAGCCUGGGCAACAUAGUGAAACCCCAUCUCUACUAACAGUACAAAAAAUUAGGCUGCUGUGGUGGCGUGCACCUAUAAUCCCAGCUACUCAGGAGGCUGAGGUGAGAGGAUGCUUGAGUCUGGGAGGUGGAGGUUGCAGUAAACUGAGAUCGUGCCACUGCAUUCCAGCCUGGGUGACAGAAUGAGACCUUGUCUCCAAAAAAAAAAAAAAAAAAGGAGAAAGAAGAAAAAAAGAAAUAAGUGAGUUAAUACACAGAGUGUGUAGAACGAUACCUGGCCCAGAGUCUGAGAUUGAUAAAGAAUCACUAUUAUUAACUGUUUAAAACAAACGGGAGCUGGGCACGGUGGCUCACGCCUGUAAUCCCAACACUUUGGGAGGCCGAGGAGGGUGGAUCACCUGAGGUCAGGAGCUUGCGACCAGCCUGGCCAGCAUGGUGGCCUGUUUCUACUAAAAAUACAAAAACUGGCCAGGUGUGGUGGCAGGCCCCUGUAAUCCCAGCUACUUGGGAGGCUGAGACAGGAGAAUCACUUGAACCCGGGAAGCAGAGGUUGCGGGGAGCCGAGAUUGUGCCAUUACACUCCAGCCUGGGCGACAAGAGUGAAACUCCGUCUCAACAACAACAAAUGAACAAACAAAAAGGUUCUGAAUUCCCAUCUUCCCUGCGAUAAGUGGUGGGGUGUUUUCUGUCUUUUUUCCUCGUAACACAUCCCCCCAGAUUCAUGGGAACUGAGCAGGGCAGCUGGGCAGAGGAGGGAGAAGCAGAGACGUGAUGUGACAGCAGGAAGGUGGGAAAGAAUCAGCUCUAUCCUCCUACACAGUGCAAGUCACAGCUGCAACCAACCUUCUUGUUUGCAGUGGCAAAGGAGGAAGAGGCAGUGAGAUGGCAAAUAGGCAAGGCCACCAUCAGUCAUUGUCGUCACUGUCACCAUCGUCUUGCAGAUCAGCCACAAUCCUGCCUGCACAGAACAGGUACUCAAGAAAUGCUGUUCUCUCCCCAGGGCUGAUAACUCCCCGAUCUCCACUUUUCAGUCGGCUUCUCUUUUACCUAUUCCGGGGCUGCUGUUCCAAAAGCUCUCCAAUACCCUCACUCCACUCUUGGCCUCACUCCUAACAGGUUAUAUCACCUCCCUAUGUACAGAGGCCAUAGAGACCACUGGGAGAACCACUCAAUGUCCCUACUUUUUUUUUUUUUUUUUUUUGAGACGGAGUCUCGCUCUGUCUCCCAGGCUGGAGUGCAGUGGCGCGAUCUCGGCUCACUGCAAGCUCCGCCUCCCGGG
rnacentral:lncRNA from 1 species